ACGGUGCUCGUGCCCCCCGCGUGCCCCAGGUCCUCGAGCUGCUGUGUACCCGUGUCACCGUGUGUCCCCAGGUCCCUGUGACACCGCAGGUAGCACCAAGCCACCAAGGUCCUCAUGCCACCCUGUGCGCCCCGUGUCCCCAUGUCACCUGUGCCCAUGUCCCUCUGCCACCUCCUGUGUUUCCCAAGGUCCCCAUCCCCGUGCCACCUCCUGUGCCCCAGAUCCCCGUGCCACCUCCUGUGCCCCAGGUCCCCGUGCCACCUCCUG